rnacentral:rRNA from 1 species
UAUGGGGUGCAGCAGGCGCGAAACCUUUACACUGCACGACAGUGCGAUAAGGGGACCCCAAGUGCGAGGGCAUAUAGUCCUCGCUUUUGUGUACCGUAGGGCGGUACACGAAUAAGAGCUGGGCAAGACCGGUGCCAGCCGCCGCGGUAAUACCGGCAGCCCGAGUGAUAGCCAAUUUUAUUGGGCCUAAAGCGUCCGUAGCUGGCCGAACAGGUCCGUCGGGAAAUCCACCCGCUUAACGGGUGGGCGUCCGGCGGAAACCAGUCGGCUUGGGGCCGAGAGACCAAAGGGGUACGUCCGGGGUAGGAGUGAAAUCCCGUAAUCCUGGACGGACCACCGGUUGCGAAAGCGCCUUUGGAGAACGGACCCGACAGUGAGGGACGAAAGCUAGGGUCUCGAACCGGAUUAGAUACCCGGGUAGUCCUAGCCGUAAACGAUGCUCGCUAGGUGUGACGCAGGCUACGAGCCUGCGUUGCGCCGUAGGGAAGCCGAGAAGCGAGCCGCCUGGGAAGUACGUCCGCAAGGAUGAAACUUAAAGGAAUUGGCGGGGGAGCAC